AGACAUAAGGCAAUAUCCAAAAUUUGACCAAACCCAUUGCAUGGCUACAUGGUAUGUAUUCAUAGGCAUGGAGUAGAGCCCAUUUUAAGUUUCUCUCCCUCUUAAUAUGAUCAUGAAGGCGCACAUCAUAGUUAUUUAUACUUUUUGCCAGCAGAUUACGGAUACAUUGUGGUACUGAGGAAACCAUUGGAGGCCAAAAAUUUGCUUAGACCUUUUUAUAUUCUAAAACUGGAAAUUUAAGGAAUGGAGAAACAGAGACUUCGCUCAAGUGGUGUCCAUAGUUUUCCAUGGAAAAAACUAGGCCAUUCCUAUAAACCUGAA
rnacentral:lncRNA from 1 species